UGAAUCGGUGGAUUAUAACUUUGAGCGGU
rnacentral:rRNA from 3 species